CACACGACCGUACCGCAAACCGACACUGGUGCGCGAGAUGAGUAUUCUAAGGCGCUUGAGAGAACUCAGGAGAAGGAACUCGGCAAAUUGACACCGUAACUUCGGAAGAAGGUGUGCCUUUAGUAGGUGAACCAUUUACUUGGGGAGCCCAAUGAGGCUGCAAAAAAUCGGUGGCUGCAACUGUUUAUUAAAAACACAGCACUCUGCUAAGACGAAAGUCGACGUAUAGGGUGUGACGCCUGCCCGGUGCUGGAAGAUUAAAUGAUGGGGUAAGCUCUUGAUUGAAGUCCCAGUAAACGGCGGCCGUAACAAUAACGGUCCUAAGGUAGCGAAAUUCCUUGUCGGGUAAGUUCCGACCUGCACGAAUGGCGUAAUGAUGGCCACACUGUCUCCUCCUGAGACUCAGCGAAGUUGAAAUGUUUGUGAUGAUGCAAUCUCCCCGCGGAAAGACGGAAAGACCCCAUGAACCUUUACUGUAGCUUUGUAUUGGACUUUGAACAGAUCUGUGUAGGAUAGGUGGGAGGCUUUGAAGUGUGGUCGCUAGAUCGCAUGGAGCCAACGUUGAAAUACCACCCUGGUGUGUUUGAGGUUCUAACCUAGGUCCAUUAUCUGGAUCGGGGACAGUGCAUGGUAGGCAGUUUGACUGGGGCGGUCUCCUCCCAAAGUGUAACGGAGGAGUUCGAAGGUACGCUAGGUACGGUCGGACAUCGUGCUAAUAGUGCAAUGGCAUAAGCGUGCUUAACUGCGAGACUGACAAGUCGAGCAGAUGCGAAAGCAGGACAUAGUGAUCCGGUGGUUCUGUAUGGAAGGGCCAUCGCUCAACGGAUAAAAGGUACUCUGGGGAUAACAGGCUGAUACCGCCCAAGAGUUCAUAUCGACGGCGGUGUUUGGCACCUCGAUGUCGGCUCAUCUCAUCCUGGGGCUGUAGCCGGUCCCAAGGGUAUGGCUGUUCGCCAUUUAAAGAGGUACGUGAGCUGGGUUUAAAACGUCGUGAGACAGUUUGGUCCCUAUCUUCCGUGGGCGCUGCAGAUUUGAGGAAGCCUGCUCCUAGUACGAGAGGACCGGAGUGGACGAACCUCUGGUGUAUCGGUUGUCACGCCAGUGGCAUUGCCGAGUAGCUAAGUUCGGAAGAGAUAACCGCUGAAAGCAUCUAAGCGGGAAACUCGUUUCAAGAUUAGAUCUGCCGGGGCCUUGAGCCCCCUAAAGAGUCGUUCAAGACCAGGACGUUGAUAGGUCAGGUGUGGAAGCG
rnacentral:rRNA from 1 species